rnacentral:misc_RNA from 1 species
GCACGUCAGGGAGCCAGAAGCAACGUGGGCCCCCUUCCCUGCCUCGGCCACCAGCCACCGUCAUCACCCUCGCAGGCCUAUUCGCGCGUCCCUCCCCCAACCCUCCUAUAGUGGUUUCUCUCUCUUCCUUGAUUGAACCCCUCCCCCGGCAGGCGACGAUGCAGAGCCGUGCCGCGCCCGGUCGUGUGACGGCGGCAGCGGGGCCGUCCGCGUCCUCCGCGGCGCAGCAGGGCACUGCCAAAGGUGCAGUGGCGGCAAGCGGUACCGCGAUGCUGACGGCACCGCUCGGCCUGCAGGCGACGGUGCUCUCCCAGCCUUCCUUCUUCCCCUCCUUAGGCGAGGACCUCGGCGACAUCGCCGAGGAGGGCGACAUCCUCUUCCCUGUUCUUGGUGACCCGUGGAGCCGCGUGCGGCGCGGUCAGCCGCCGUGUAGCCGCCUUACCUCAACGUCGACGGCGUCACCGCAGCAGCAGCGCACCCGCGAGGCCGUCACGAUGCCGGUGAACUUGUGCUUCUCCACAUCUUUAUGUGUGCAGCCAGUACUUACACUGCCGCGCAAGAUGGGAGCGCUGCUUGCCAGCGAGGUGUUCCGCGCUCUCCUGUGCUUCCACAACGCUGCCAACUACAGCCUGACGCAGGCGCACUUUCACGUAGGUGUGGCGCAACCGUCGGCGCCGCUGCGGCGUGCUUUACUGCGUUGCACCGUGGAGACGCUCCCGCCCAAGUCGCACUACACACUUGUUGCAGCGGUGCCGCUGAGCGAGGCGAGCACCUAUGCGCUGGCGGUGGCGGUAGACUACUACGACCCGAGCGAGCGGCAGCGGCAGCUCAAGUGGAGCAGCACGUUCAAGACGGAACAGCCGAUCAUGGAAGUGCAGCCGAGGUUUCUGCGAUACGUCCGGCCAACGUGGACGUCGGCGGAGGACCAACCAGACGGCAGCGACAACGACAAUGAAUCCGAGCUGCAUUCGUCAACUUCCUCACGCGCGUACGCGCUCUACCAACUGAGCGUUGGCCUGAAGAACAUGUCCAGCGUGCCGCUCUGUCUCGCCGACUCUAAGCUGGUUCUGCCAAGCCUCACCCAUCACCGCGGUGCGGCGGUGUUUCGUGAGGUGGUGGCAAGCGGCGGCCGCGUAGAAAGCGCGAAGCUGCAGAACUGUUGCAGCACUUCGUCAACGGCAGCGGAAGAAUCGCGGGUGCCGGCGCCGGUCCUCCUCAUGCCGGGCGACACGCACCUACUGCUCUUCACUGUUGGCAUCCUCCUGGAGGAGCUGCGACACGCCACGGUGGUGCACGGCCGCGGCGGCCUCAUGACACGUCGCCUUAGUCCUCGGCUUGCAUCACUGGGGUAUGUGCAGUGGACGUGGUGCCGCGCAAAUGGAGAGACUGGAACGGCGCGGAGCGCACAGCUGCGCGUCAAAGAGCUCUUGGCCGAGGCGGAGGUGGAGCUGCGCGUCACGCGCGUCAUCGCUGAGUCGGCAGCCCACCCCUCGAAACGGCCGCCGUCGUCUUCGACGACGACUUUGGAGGACGGUGACUUUGCGGCAGCUGAUCCUCACUACCAUGCGCUGCACAAGCAGACACCGCCGGCGCCUCUCCUCGCUGGGUCGCCCGUCACGGCGCACUUCAAGGUGGUCAACCACAGCAACGUGCAUCGCUACGACGUGGCAGUCAAGGUUCGCGUGGAGCGUCUAGCGCCGCAGUGGCUCUACGCGGGGCCCACCGUGCGCCUGCUCGGUCUCCUAGAGUCUGCAAGCAGCCUAACCUUUUCUCUAACGCUCCUGCCAUGGCAAGCGGGGUGGCGAAGCAUCUCACGCGACGCGAUAGAACUCGUGGAUGCUCGCACGUCGCAGGCCGUCCUGUGGCCGCCGUCUGCGACGGUCCUGCUGCAGUCAGUCUCGGGCGAGAGCGAUGUCGUCCUCGGUAAAGCGGCCAGCGUCAGUGGCGACAAGGCGGACGCGCACGAAGACGCGACGCUGGCGGCGACAGCGCCGGCCAUCGCGGCGGUCGCCAUGAAGGCCCUCCCGGCUGCGGAUGCUGACACGCUGUGCGAUGUGUUGGUUCUCUGACGGAACGUGGCGUGCUUGUGCUCGUUAUUACGGUUUGCGGGUGCUGUGUGUGUGUAUGUAUUGGCUCGCGUGUGUGCGCUCUCGGCCCCUUCCCCUUC